UACGAGGGGGGCGAGCGUUGUUCGGAAUUAUUGGGCGUAAAGGGUGCGUAGGCGGUUUGGUAAGUCUUAUGUGAAAUCUACAGGCUCAACUUGUAGUCUGCAUGAGAAACUGCCGGGCUUGAGUAUGGGAGAGGUGAGUGGAAUUCCUGGUGUAGCGGUGAAAUGCGUAGAUAUCAGGAGGAACACCUGUGGCGAAAGCGGCUCACUGGACUAUAACUGACGCUGAUGCACGAAAGCUAGGGAAGCA
rnacentral:rRNA from 1 species